CCUACGGGAGGCAGCAGUAGGGAAUUUUGCGCAAUGGGCGAAAGCCUGACGCAGCAACGCCGCGUGAUUGAUUAAGCCCUUCGGGGUGUAAAGAUCUGUCAGUGGGGACGAAACUUGUCGGUACCCACAGAGGAAGCACCGGCUAACUCCGUGCCAGCAGCCGCGGUAAUACGGAGGGUGCAAGCGUGGUCCGGAAUCAGUGGGCGUAAAGAGUUCGUAGGUGGCAUGUUAAGUCUGGUGUUAAAUGCAGAGGCUCAACUUCUGUUCGGCACUGGAUACUGGUAGGCUUGAGUGCGGUAGAGGUAAAGAGAAUUCCUGGUGUAGCGGUGAAAUGCGUAGAUAUCAGGAGGAACAUCGGUGGCGAAGGCGGUUUACUGGGCCGUAAUUGACGCUGAGGUGCGAAAGCCGGGGUAGCAAAUGGGAUUAGAUACCCCAGUAGUC
rnacentral:rRNA from 1 species